rnacentral:lncRNA from 1 species
CUCGAUGCAGUUUCCGGUUAUAGAUGCAUUCCCGUCAUUGGAGGAUAUCGAUAUCCUCGAAAGGGGGGAAAAACGGUUCGUUUCGUGGAUUGGACAACUUGUGAUUCGUUAAAUUGCCAGGGAAGCAAAAACUGUGACGCGGUUGACGUUGGUCCGAUGAGUUACCGAACAUCGAUAGCGAAUUGGAUUGAUCAACGUGACGUGUCGAACGCGUGCUACUUACCAACCCUAACAAACUCUAUCGACGCCUCGUGUCCUGAGAAAUUGCGAAUUCCUCUGUACCUCUCACGAGGUUCGUCAGGAGGAAAAGUUUUAUCAGAGAAUCGAUGAGACGACGCGGGCGGAAUUUUAACUAGAAUUCGAAAUGGCGAGGAAUUUUCUCAAAGAAUUUCUCGUUUACCAAUUUCUAUCUCCCUUUUCUCGCAGCCAACCAAGUCUCGACCGGUUGAGUUCCCGAGGACAAAGCACCGGUAUUUUCUAGGUUAGUCGCUCGAGAAAACGGUAGCCCGAUAACAUGAUGCCAUUCCGGACGAUAAAUAUACAUACAGGUAUUUACACAUGCUAUACAUAUAACGAAUAUACAUAGAUUGUAUAUAGGUAAAUUACCUAUAUACAAGCAAAAUAAACGCGCAUGAAACGUAUACACAGGUACAGCCUAGAUUAAAUCCGGUUCUCUACGAAAUCCCAGAAAUCACGGUACCCACCGAUCCAUGCAACGCUACGGUCAGCAAUACUUUACACCUGUCACACUGCUUAAACCUAAUUAGACAUGACGGGCUUAAUCUUGCGACGCUUAAUGGGCUCGUUGAACGAAAAUAGGUAACGAUCUUCUCUUUCUCGUUUUGGAUAAUACGAUCAAAUGUUCUGAGAAAUUUUGCAACGAUCUCGUUUACCAAUCGUCGAACUAAUAAUUUAACAACUGUUACCUUCUGUCGAUACGAGAUCGUCGUCGGCUCGUCUUCGUUAAUUAUCGGAGAAGUUCGUACAUUGGAGCAAUCAAGCGGCGCAUCGCCGACUCGUUAGCGUUGAAAUUACGUUUCAGUUAGCUAGUCGACUGUCUUAAUGACUCGAACUUUGAUGAUCAAAGAAAAAGAAAAAGAUUUCGAAGUGAUCGUCUAUAAUCGUGUAACCAUGUGAAAAAAUAUUAAUGAAGUUGUAUUAUACAGAAAAAUAUUAAGUGCCAAACUUUGUCAAUAUAUAAUGAGCAUAAAAUGUUGUAUAUACAUAAUUCUGCGAACGUUAAUAAAAAUAUGGAAUUCGAAGGAACAGUAGCGGGCGUAGUUACUGCGAUAUAAUGAUGAAAUAUAGAUAAUUUCAAACGAACCCGAAUAGAUGAAACUGCAACCCCCUGAAAUCUGUCGCUCGUUUAUCAUCCAUGUGAUCAUUCGUGGUGGAACGAAGCUGUUUUCAAAGCGAAGCAUGAUAUUGCGAUAAAAAAUUGUGCAGAAAAACGAUAAUGGAUGAUAAUUUUUUUUCUCUCUCUCUUUUCUAAUCUAUACUCUCGAGAUUGUUUAUCGAUCUUUUCGAAAUUAUACUGCAUAAAAGAGAAGGCAGACGAGGAGGAAGACAUUUUUUUUUCCAACUAUCUUUUCUUUUUCUAAGAUCUCGUGGCUUUUUCCUUUCGUUGGCCCUUGCUAUCUCGCGUGAAAAGGGAAAGCUGCUGCGAGUAAACGAAACCCUUUUAUUCCAGAUAUCUUUAAUCGUGCCGACAUAAAGAAUGUCUACGACACUGAAAGUCGUAGAGAGGUCACCGCCUAGGUCAUUCAGCAAGCUAGACAAUACCUUCUUUUAUCAAGACCAAACAGAUAUCUGCUUUGCACGUGCAUUUAUUCGCGAAUUCCUUUCCUUUUUCUUAUUACAUUGUUGUUUAAAAGUUUGAAUGCGAAAAAUUU